AUUGAACGCUGGCGGCAUGCUUUACACAUGCAAGUCGAACGGUAACAGCACUUCGGUGGCUGACGAGUGGCGAACGGGUGAGUAAUACAUCGGAACGUGCCUAGUAGUGGGGGAUAACUACUCGAAAGAGUAGCUAAUACCGCAUGAGAUCUAAGGAUGAAAGCAGGGGACCUUCGGGCCUUGCGCUACUAGAGCGGCUGAUGGCAGAUUAGGUAGUUGGUGGGAUAAAAGCUUACCAAGCCGACGAUCUGUAGCUGGUCUGAGAGGACGACCAGCCACACUGGGACUGAGACACGGCCUAGACUCCUACGGGAGGCAGCAGUGGGGAAUUUUGGACAAUGGGCGCAAGCCUGAUCCAGCAAUGCCGCGUGCAGGAUGAAGGCCUUCGGGUUGUAAACUGCUUUUGUACGGAACGAAAAGCCCUCUUCUAAUACAGGAGGGUCAUGACGGUACCGGAAGAAUAAGCACCGGCUAACUACGUG
rnacentral:rRNA from 1 species